AACACCGCGUGAGUGAAGAAGGGUUUCGGCUCGUAAAGCUCUGUUGUUGGAGAAGAACGUGCGUGAGAGUAACUGUUCACGCAGUGACGGUAUCCAACCAGAAAGUCACGGCUAACUACGUGCCAGCAGCCGCGGUAAUACGUAGGUGGCAAGCGUUAUCCGGAUUUAUUGGGCGUAAAGCGAGCGCAGGCGGUUGCUUAGGUCUGAUGUGAAAGCCUUCGGCUUAACCGAAGAAGUGCAUCGGAAACCGGGCGACUUGAGUGCAGAAGAGGACAGUGGAACUCCAUGUGUAGCGGUGGAAUGCGUAGAUAUAUGGAAGAACACCAGUGGCGAAGGCGGCUGUCUGGUCUGCAACUGACGCUGAGGCUCGAAAGCAUGGGUAGCGAACAGGAUUAGAUACCCUGGUAGUCCAUGCCGUAAACGAUGAGUGCUAGGUGUUGGAGGGUUUCUGCCCUUCAGUGCCGGAGCUAACGCAUUAAGCACUCCGCCUGGGGAGUACGACCGCAAGGUUGAAACUCAAAGGAAUUGACGGGGGCCCGCACAAGCGGUGGAGCAUGUGGUUUAAUUCGAAGCUACGCGAAGAACCUUACCAGGUCUUGACAUCUUGCGCUAACCUUAGAGAUAAGGCGUUCCCUUCGGGGACGCAAUGACAGGUGGUGCAUGGUCGUCGUCAGCUCGUGUCGUGAGAUGUUGGGUUAAGUCCCGCAACGAGCGCAACCCUUGUUACUAGUUGCCAGCAUUAAGUUGGGCACUCUAGUGAGACUGCCGGUGACAAACCGGAGGAAGGUGGGGACGACGUCAGAUCAUCAUGCCCCUUAUGACCUGGGCUACACACGUGCUACAAUGGACGGUACAACGAGUCGCAAGCUCGCGAGAGUAAGCUAACCUCUUAAAGCCGUUCUCAGUUCGGACUGUAGGCUGCAACUCGCCUACACGAAGUCGGAAUCGCUAGUAAU
rnacentral:rRNA from 1 species